UAGGGAAUCUUCGGCAAUGGGGGCAACCCUGACCGAGCAACGCCGCGUGAGUGAAGAAGGUUUUCGGAUCGUAAAGCUCUGUUGUAAGAGAAGAACGUGUGUGAGAGUGGAAAGUUCACACAGUGACAGUAACUUACCAGAAAGGGACGGCUAACUACGUGCCAG
rnacentral:rRNA from 1 species